GCCACUCGCCGUGAGCUGUCAGAGCUCUGUGGGGCACGGUCACGCACAGCAGCUAGUUUCCGGUAGCAUCGAACGAUUCGUACUUUCCUUCGAAAGUACCUUUCACGAAUCCUUUACGGAAUCGCGCGAGGUCUCGAUUUAACUCACGCACGAGUACGCGUCCCCGUACUGAAAUAUACAAGGCUAACACGUGCGUCUACUGCCGGAUCUCAAUCUCUGUCACGGGAUCCUUACUGUAAUCUCUGUAUUUAAGAUUACUGAACGCACGUUCUACCUCGUUAUCGUUUUGUUUUCGUGAGUUUGUGCGACAUUCGAACGUGCCUUGCAGCUGUGACAAGUUGCCGAAAACCUGUCGCAGACAAAAUAGAGAGAAGAGACUGAGACAGGAGAGAGACAGAGAGAGAAGAAAUAGCUGUGUUCAGAGUCUAGCUUGGAAAUUGUUGAAAUAACGUCGAGAGGAAUAUUUUCUCUUGAGCUGAACGCGCGAAGCAGGAAGCUACCAGCCAGUGAAACUAGCAGUAAGAUGGAAAUACAACUGGACCCAACUGGUCUCUACUGAAAGAACUGAAGUUGUCAACUGAACAAAGAGGAAAGAACACAGUAUUAUUAUAUUUGCAUAAAACUUGCAACAUGGCUGGUGGACUAGAUCCUACCGGUCUCUAUUAAGUGGCUCUUGUAAACGAGGUCAAUCGUACCCGAGAGGGUAUUCGCGAACGUCAUCCUCGAAGUGUUCGCCGUAAGGCCCACUGCAGAACUGCCACCAGAUCGUCAUCGAAUUGGAGAAUCCUCGCGCUUCGAUCUCUUCGUUGCUGAUUGUUCGGACACUCCUUGAUAACCAUGGCUGGACUCGACCCCACAGGACAGUACUGACCUGGAGGAACGUGAGGACGGAUCGUCCUGACGUCGAAGAUCGACAGACUUCCUAGCACUUCGUGGGGGACAUCGCGCGCGACCCAUCCGAAGGCAUGGCUGCCGCUGGUCUCGAUCCCACGGGCCAGUACUGAGAGCCUCGCUGUGCCGAGGACUCUCUUGGUCAGUUUCCCCGCGCGACCUCACCACCCGCGACUAGCGUCGCACCUCCUCUUCCUCCUCGUCGAGGCGCCCUGCCGCCACUCGGGCCCGUCUGUCAACGUGUGAGUCCUGCACUUGCUCCCUGCGAGCGCACCAGCCAGCCAGCCAGCCAGCCAGCCAGCCAGCCAACCAGUCGGCCAAACAUGGGAUACGUCAGGGGACGAGAGGAAACGUCCUCGCCGAACCUGAGGAGAUGGGGAUGGAACAUUCACAUUCGAAAGGGAAGACAUCGGGGGACAGUCAGGAGAAUAUUCUUCUAUGAUCAAGAGUUCCAUCCAAAAAUUCGAGAAUGACCUCGAGUGUCACUGUCGCCAAGGAGCGUACCUGUCCGGAAGCUGCUCUAACGCCAAGAAGCGUAAACGCUGGAGCAUCAGGCCACCAGGAAGCAAAGCACUGCCAUGAUAUAGUUGCCUAGUCGCUUUUACUCCUUAUCAUUGUCAUUUCAUCGUUUCCUACAUUUUCACCCACAUCUCCCUUCAAUUCUUUUUUUUGUCGUCCUACGAUCGAUUUCCAAUUCCAAGCUUGAUUAUUUUUUUUAUCCCUUUCGAGUUUCUAGAUCAAAGACAUAAUAUGGAAACUGGGACCUUUAUCAGAUGGCGCUGCCAUCGUCGUCGUUGUCGUCACUGAUACAUAUUCUUUUGGACAAACCCAGUACGCACGUAAAAUAAUAAUUAAUAACUGAUUACGUCACACUGAUUUAUAUUACAAGGACAGGUGCUUUGAGAUUAUCGACAAGAAUCAUUUUUCUCGCACCUAUCUUCAAAGGCUCUUAUUCGAAAUUUCAUUUUUCAUUUCAUUCUUAUUGUUAUCAUUCUUUCGUUUAAUUAGCAUUAAAUGCUAGUUUUAGUAUCACUGUCACUACUACUGCUAGUACUACUGCUACUACCUACUACUACUACUACUACUACUACUUGUUACUAUACUUAUUACUGCCGUUGCUAGCAGCGUUUUAGCAGACCUUGUAUAAUCAUGUCUGAUAAUAUUAUCAAUCGUUCAGAGAUCGAUACUACUGCCACUUACAAUGGACGUCCUUACACCAAACUAUCUUGUCUCUCAGAGUCAGUCCAAUAAUUGACCGAUUAAUGGCAGCCGUUUGUAUCAACUAUACUUUUUGAUUACCGCGACUUAACUAGUAUUUAAUAUUAAGAUCGUAGUUAAUCUAAUUUCACAGCCCCGUGAACCUUAUUCCUAAAAUGAUCAUUUCGAUCUUUCAAUGAUUAUCAGUUAUUGUACUCCUGUAGCCUGUAGCCUGUAGCCUGUAGCCAAUAAUACUGAAAUCUCACUGAAUCGAUUACUCGUCGGCACGUGACCUUGGAGCUUUCCUUUUUCCUUGCCCUGACGUUGGCGACGAUGGCGACGAUAAAGACCAAGACGACAACCAGGUCCACUUUGUUACAGGCAACGUUUAUCGAAUGUCCCUGUUUUUUUUUUUUGUAAUUUUCAUCCUUCCUAACGUCCCUUACAUACGUAUGUAUGAAUAUUACGAGUUACCAGCGUCGAAUAUCUUCUCCGUCAAGAAAGUAGCACGCACUCACGUGUCAAUCUUGAGCAUUUAUAUGACUUGAAACUCUUGUGAUUUGGAAUUCACGGUGAUUCCCUUGCGUAACCGAAAUACUUCGAGAAGAAGAGAGAGAGAGAGAGAGAGAGAGAGAGAGAGAGAGAGAGAAAGUGUUUGCGUGUGCCUGCGAAAGAAUGUGUGACUGAGUGCAUGUGAAGUAAGCCUUCGCUUACGUAUGUAUACAUAUAUUUAUAUAUCUACCUAUCUAUCUAUAUGUAUAUGUAUAUUUAUGCGGAAGAUAAUUGUAACAAUUGUUAAGAUCGGGAAUCAAAAUGAAUUUCAGUGUACGUCUCUCGACGGGUGCGUCAUCGAACGUCAUCGAACGUCAUCGAAUGUCUUGAACGGUCAUCGCGAGAGCGAAAUUUGAUGAUCCGAUGAGGGACGACGUUACUCGAGGUCUCGUUUGGAAAUUCAACAUUCCGAAUUCUCUCUGAACGUCACCUCGACUAAAGCCAAUGGUAUAGUCAAUCCUUACUCUUAAUUGUAUCUUAAAUUAUUUGCGAAAUGUAGGUACCUAGGUAUUGUUUUGUACAAUAAAACUAAGUAAAAUGAAAA